rnacentral:lncRNA from 1 species
ACAAAGCCCUGCAGAUCUGCUGCUUUUCCUGAUUCUCCUGUCCUGAGUGAGUGCAAGGGGCUCCCCUGUCGUCGAUGUGUUCUUUGAAGCAGAUGCUGUGCCUGAUACCUGCUGGAGAGUCCCACCGCCUUGAGUGAGUCAACAAACCUAUCAUCCUUCCCAUCUUCCAGGAUGGAUAUUGGGGUGGGGGGAGGUUAAAGGGAAUACCAUAAAGUUGCUACCAUACGGUUAGGGCUGAAUACAAUGGGAGUACUUAUUGUGAUGAUGUCAAUGAUGAUGACAGUGAUGAUGAUGAUGAUGAUGAUAUCUAGAACUCCAGGUUUUCCUGGAGAGAACCAAGGAGGAUUCCCCACUUACCUAAUAAAUAAAUGUCCUGUAAAUGCAGAACAUGCCAUGUAAUUGAUGACACAAGCGGGAUCUCACUUCUGGGGGAUGAGAAUCAAUUCUUUAUGGAUUCCCACAGGGCAGAGGGACCCGGGUGGAGAUACUAAGCUGUCUGUUGUAUUUCCGAACGAAUGAGUACGUACGUAACAGUUAUCGUGUCUCCUUGUAACUCGUGUGCUAAUCAUAAAAUCUUCACAAGGAUUCAUGACAUUCGUGCUAUGACUAUUCUCAUUUUACAGUGAGGAAGGCGGGACACCUAGGAAUUAAGUAACUUGCCAACAUAGGGACGAGCUCACCACACAACAACCAAGGGUGGGGAUACCAGUCAGGUACUGCGGAAAACACUGGACAUGAGGAGAGACUGAUCACCUGCAUAAUCACUGCUGAAAGGUCAUGUAAGGUGGAGACAGAAAAGUAUACAUGGAUUUGGCAAAAAAAAGGAUUUGCUGGGGAAGAGGGGGUGAAACUCUGAAUUGAGUGAGGAGAGAAAGGGGAAAGAAAUUGAAGACAGAACAGACACUGCUUUCUAGAAAUAAAGCUAUAGCUGGAGGGGGAAAUGAGGUCAAGAGAGAUUUCCUUAUUUGUUAAGAUGGGAAAAAUAAUAGCCCAUCCGUGUACUUGUUGAUAGAAAUAAUUUGGUAGAAAGAGAAAAAUUGAUGAUGCAAGAGAGAAUGAGAAGGAAUUUGGUGGGGUAGAAAGAAGGCUAGAACCUACUGCUCAAAGAGAGGGUUUGGCUAUGGUGAGGGAGAAUCUAUCUACAUGACAGGACAUUGACCAGGCACGGAGGUAUGCUCUUGUAGUUUUCAUACUUUGUAAUAAAAGAAACAUCAAUUUUAAAAACUCAACAACAAAUAGAACAUGAAAAUAGUCUGUCUACUUAAAACCUUAAAACAUUACAGAUGAAACUAAAGUCUCCUUUGGUGAUGUUGUGGGAUUUUAUUUAUUUUGAUGUCUGAGAACUAUUCCAUUGUAUGGAUAUACCAUAGGUUGUUCAUCCAUUCACCUGUUGAGGGAAAUUUGUUUUGUUUUCCACAUUGGCUGUGACAAACACAACUGCUGUAAACAUUUGUGUACAUGUUUUUGUAUGGAUGUAAGUUUUUCUUUUGUCUAAAGUAAAUAGUUAAUUUACUGCUGGGUGAUAUGGUAACUGUAUGCUUACCCUUAUAAGAAACUGUCAAACUUUCUCCAAAGUGACCAUACAAUCCAUUUUGCAUUUCCGCCAGCAAUGUAUGCAUGAGAGACCAGUUGAUCCUCAUCCUUUCCCCUGCUGGUAUUGUCAGUAUUUUUAGUUUAGCUGCUCUAACAUGUGAGUCAUGGUGUCUCCUCAUAGCUUUAAUUUGCAUGUCCCUAAUGACUAAUGAUGCUGAGCAUCUUUCCGUGUGCUCAUUCUUUUCUCCACUUCUUAAUCGGAUUCUUUGUUUUCUUACUGUUGAGUUUAGAGCCACCUUUAUACAUUCUAGGUACAACCUUUUAGAUCAAAUAUGUAAUUUGCAAAUAUUUUCUCCCAGUCUAUAUCUGGUCUUUUCAUCCUCUUUAACAAUAUAUUUUGCAGAAUAAAAGUAUUUUGAUG